UACGUAGGGUGCGAGCGUUAAUCGGAAUUACUGGGCGUAAAGCGUGCGCAGGCGGUUUUGUAAGUCAGUUGUGAAAUCCCCGGGCUCAACCUGGGAACUGCAUCUGUGACUGCAUCGCUGGAGUGCGGCAGAGGGGGAUGGAAUUCCGCGUGUAGCAGUGAAAUGCGUAGAUAUGCGGAGGAACACCGAUGGCGAAGGCAAUCCCCUGGGCCUGCACUGACGCUCAUGCACGAAAGCGUGGGGAGCAAACAGG
rnacentral:rRNA from 1 species